AUGCACGCUGGCGGCGUGCCUCAUCCAUGCAAGUCGCGCGAACAGACGAGGAGCUUGCUCCUCUGACGUUAGCGGCGGACGGGUGAGUAACACGUGGAUAACCUACCUAUAAGACUGGGAUAACUUCGGGAAACCGGAGGUAAUACCGGAUAAUAUAUUGAACCGCAUGGUUCAAUAGUGAAAGACGGUUUUGCUGUCACUUAUAGAUGGAUCCGCGCCGCAUUAGCUAGUUGGUAAGGUAACGGCUUACCAAGGCGACGAUGCGUAGCCGACCUGAGAGGGUGAUCGGCCACACUGGAACUGAGACACGGUCCAGACUCCUACGGGAGGCAGCAGUAGGGAAUCUUCCGCAAUGGGCGAAAGCCUGACGGAGCAACGCCGCGUGAGUGAUGAAGGUCUUCGGAUCGUAAAACUCUGUUAUUAGGGAAGAACAAAUGUGUAAGUAACGAUGCACGUCUUGACGGUACCUAAUCAGAAAGCCACGGCUAACUACGU
rnacentral:rRNA from 1 species